rnacentral:rRNA from 1 species
GGUAACAGGCCGCAAGGUGCUGACGAGUGGCGAACGGGUGAGUAAUGCAUCGGAACGUGCCCAGUCGUGGGGGAUAACGCAGCGAAAGCUGCGCUAAUACCGCAUACGAUCUAUGGAUGAAAGCGGGGGACCGUAAGGCCUCGCGCGAUUGGAGCGGCCGAUGUCAGAUUAGGUAGUUGGUGGGGUAAAGGCUCACCAAGCCAACGAUCUGUAGCUGGUCUGAGAGGACGACAGCCACACUGGAACUGAGACACGGUCCAGACUCCUACGGGAGGCAGCAGUGGGGAAUUUUGGACAAUGGGCGCAAGCCUGAUCCAGCAAUGCCGCGUGCAGGAAGAAGGCCUUCGGGUUGUAAACUGCUUUUGUACGGAACGAAACGGUCUGGGUUAAUACCUCGGGCUAAUGACGGUACCGUAAGAAUAAGCACCGGCUAACUACGUGCCAGCAGCCGCGGUAAUACGUAGGGUGCAAGCGUUAAUCGGAAUUACUGGGCGUAAAGCGUGCGCAGGCGGUGAUGUAAGACAGUCGUGAAAUCCCCGGGCUCAACCUGGGAAUUGCGAUUGUGACUGCAUCGCUGGAGUGCGGCAGAGGGGGAUGGAAUUCCGCGUGUAGCAGUGAAAUGCGUAGAUAUGCGGAGGGACACCGAUGGCGAAGGCAAUCCCCUGGGCCUGCACUGACGCUCAUGCACGAAAGCGUGGGG